CCUACGGGGGGCAGCAGUAGGGAAUAUUGCUCAAUGGGGGAAACCCUGAAGCAGCAACGCCGCGUGGAGGAUGAAGGUUUUAGGAUUGUAAACUCCUUUUGUGAGAGAAGAUAAUGACGGUACCUGACGAAUAAGCACCGGCUAACUCCGUGCCAGCAGCCGCGGUAAUACGGAGGGUGCAAGCGUUAUACGGAUUGACUGGGCGUAAAGAGUGCGCAGGCGGGCUGGUAAGUCAGGAGUGAAAUGCUGGAGCUUAACUACGGAACUGCAUUUGAAACUGUGCGUCUAGAGUGUGGGAGAGGUAGGUGGAAUUCUUGGUGUAGGGGUAAAAUCCGUAGAUAUCAAGAGGAAUACUAGUUGCGAAGGCGACCUACUGGAACAUAACUGACGCUGAUGCACGAAAGCGUGGGGAGCAAACAGGAUUAGAUACCCCAGUAGUC
rnacentral:rRNA from 1 species